CGGCAACAGCUCAAAUUUGAAAUCUGGCCUCUCGGGGUCCGAGUUGUAAUUUGUAGAGGAUGUUUUGGGUACCGCCCCGGUCUAAAUUUCUUGGAACAGAAUGUCAGAGAGGGUGAGAAUCACGUAUGUGACUGGCCGCCUUCGCCUAUGUGAAGCUAUUUCGAUGAGUCGCGUUGUUUGGGA
rnacentral:rRNA from 1 species